rnacentral:rRNA from 1 species
CAAUAGCGUAUAUUAAAGUUGUUGCAGUUAAAAAGCUCGUAGUUGGAUUUCUGGGAGGGUGCCAAUGUCCGCCGUCGUGCGUGCGCAGCGGCGCCCUUCCAUCCUUCUGUUAACGCCUCUUGGCAUUCAUUUGCUGGUGGCGGGCUCAGAUAUUUUACCUUGAGAAAAUUAGAGUGUUUCAGGCAGGCUAGGCCGGAAUACAUUAGCAUGGAAUAAUGGAAUAGGACUACGGUCUCGUUGUUGGUUUGAGGGACUGCAGUAAUGAUUAAUAGGGAUAGUUGGGGGCAUUAGUAUUUAAUUGUCAGAGGUGGAAUUCUCGGAUUUGUUAAAGACUAACUUAUGCGAAAGCAUUUGCCAAGGAUGUUUUCAUUA